rnacentral:rRNA from 1 species
UACGAAGGGGGCUAGCGUUGCUCGGAAUCACUGGGCGUAAAGGGCGCGUAGGCGGCCAUUCAAGUCGGGGGUGAAAGCCCAGGGCUCAACCCUGGAAUUGCCUUCGAUACUGGGAGUCUUGAGUUCGGAAGAGGUUGGUGGAACUGCGAGUGUAGAGGUGAAAUUCGUAGAUAUUCGCAAGAACACCAGUGGCGAAGGCGGCCAACUGGUCCGAAACUGACGCUGAGGCGCGAAAGCGUGGGGAGCAAACAGG